rnacentral:rRNA from 1 species
AAAACAGCCCUACGGGAGGCAGCAGUAAGGAAUAUUGGUCAAUGGAGGCAACUCUGAACCAGCCAUGCCGCGUGCAGGAAGACGGCCCUAUGGGUUGUAAACUGCUUUUAUACGGGAAUAAACCUCUCUACGUGUAGAGAGUUGAAUGUACUGUAAGAAUAAGGAUCGGCUAACUCCGUGCCAGCAGCCGCGGUAAUACGGAGGAUCCAAGCGUUAUCCGGAUUUAUUGGGUUUAAAGGGUGCGUAGGCGGCCUAUUAAGUCAGGGGUGAAAGACGGUGGCUCAACCAUCGCAGUGCCUUUGAUACUGAUAGGCUUGAUUACACUUGAGGUAGGCGGAAU